rnacentral:rRNA from 1 species
UGCAGUCGAACGGUAGCACAGAGAGCUUGCUCUCGGGUGACGAGUGGCGGACGGGUGAGUAAUGUCUGGGAAACUGCCUGAUGGAGGGGGAUAACUACUGGAAACGGUAGCUAAUACCGCAUAAUGUCGCAAGACCAAAGAGGGGGACCUUCGGGCCUCUUGCCAUCAGAUGUGCCCAGAUGGGAUUAGCUAGUAGGUGGGGUAACGGCUCACCUAGGCGACGAUCCCUAGCUGGUCUGAGAGGAUGACCAGCCACACUGGAACUGAGACACGGUCCAGACUCCUACGGGAGGCAGCAGUGGGGAAUAUUGCACAAUGGGCGCAAGCCUGAUGCAGCCAUGCCGCGUGUAUGAAGAAGGCCUUCGGGUUGUAAAGUACUUUCAGCGGGGAGGAAGGUGUUGUGGUUAAUAACCGCAGCAAUUGACGUUACCCGCAGAAGAAGCACCGGCUAACUCCGUGCCAGCAGCCGCGGUAAUACGGAGGGUGCAAGCGUUAAUCGGAAUUACUGGGCGUAAAGCGCACGCAGGCGGUCUGUCAAGUCGGAUGUGAAAUCCCCGGGCUCAACCUGGGAACUGCAUUCGAAACUGGCAGGCUGGAGUCUUGUAGAGGGGGGUAGAAUUCCAGUGUAGCGGUGAAAUGCGUAGAGAUCUGGAGGAAUACCGGGUGGCGAAGGCGGCCCCCUGGACAAAGACUGACGCUCAGUGCGAAAGCGUGGGGAGCAACAGGAUUAGAUACCCUGGGUAGUCCACGCCGUAAACGAUGUCGAUUUGGGAGUUGUGCCCCUUGAAGGCGUGGCUUCCGGAGCUAACGCGUUAAAUCGACCGCCUUGGGGGAGUAC